rnacentral:rRNA from 1 species
CCCCUUUUUGGGGAAGGCAGGGAAGCAAUCCUACCGCCAGAGGUUAUAACUCUAUCCAAACUUUUUAUUUACAGUCAAACUUGAUUUAUUAUUACAAUAGUCAAAACUUUCAACAACGGAUCUCUUGGUUCUCGCAUCGAUGAAGAACGCCGCGAAAUGCGAUACGUAAUAUGAAUUGCAGAUAUUCGUGAAUCAUCGAAUCUUUGAACGCACAUUGCGCCCUUUGGUAUUCCAAAGGGCAUGCCUGUUUGAGCGUCAUUUCUCCCUCAAACCCCCGGGUUUGGUGUUGAGCAAUACGCUAGGUUUGUUUGAAAGAAUUUAACGUGGAAACUUAUUUUAAGCGACUUAGGUUUAUCCAAAACGCUUAUUUUGCUAGUGGCCACCACAAUUUAUUUCAUAACUUUGACCUCAAAUCAGGUAGGACUACCCGCUGAACUUAAGCAUAUCAAUAAGCAGAGGCACCCCCCC